GACGAACGCUGGCGGCGUGCUUAACACAUGCAAGUCGAACGGAAAGGCCCUGCUUUUGUGGGGUGCUCGAGUGGCGAACGGGUGAGUAACACGUGAGUAACCUGCCCUUGACUUUGGGAUAACUUCAGGAAACUGGGGCUAAUACCGGAUAGGAGCUCCUGCUGCAUGGUGGGGGUUGGAAAGUUUCGGCGGUUGGGGAUGGACUCGCGGCUUAUCAGCUUGUUGGUGGGGUAGUGGCUUACCAAGGCUUUGACGGGUAGCCGGCCUGAGAGGGUGACCGGGCACAAUGGGACUGCGAGAGGGCGCAGACUGCUACGGGCGGCAGCAGUGGGGAACAUUGCACAAAGGGGGGACGCCUGAUGCAGCAACGCCGCGUGCGGGAUGACGGCCUUCGGGGUGUAAACCGCUUUCGCCUGUGACGAAGCGUGCGUGACGGUAAUGGGUAAAGAAGCACCGGCUAACUACGUG
rnacentral:rRNA from 1 species